rnacentral:rRNA from 1 species
AGGCAGCAGUGGGGAAUUUUGGACAAUGGGCGAAAGCCUGAUCCAGCAAUGCCGCGUGUGUGAAGAAGGCCUUCGGGUUGUAAAGCACUUUUGUUCGGGAAGAAAAGGUUUGUGUUAAUACCAUAAGCUGAUGACGGUACCGAAAGAAUAAGCACCGGCUAACUAC